rnacentral:rRNA from 1 species
GAUGAACGCUGGCGGCGUGCCUAAUACAUGCAAGUCGAGCGAACGGACGAGAAGCUUGCUCCUCUGACGUUAGCGGCGGACGGGUGAGUAACACGUGGAUAACCUACCUAUAAGACUGGGAUAACUUCGGGAAACCGGAGCUAAUACCGGAUAAUAUUUUGAACCGCAUGGUUCAAUAGUGAAAGACGGUUUUGCUGUCACUUAUAGAUGGAUCCGCGCUGCAUUAGCUAGUUGGUAAGGUAACGGCUUACCAAGGCAACGAUGCAUAGCCGACCUGAGAGGGUGAUCGGCCACACUGGAACUGAGACACGGUCCAGACUCCUACGGGAGGCAGCAGUAGGGAAUCUUCCGCAAUGGGCGAAAGCCUGACGGAGCAACGCCGCGUGAGUGAUGAAGGUCUUCGGAUCGUAAAACUCUGUUAUUAGGGAAGAACAAAUGUGUAAGUAACUGUGCACGUCUUGACGGUACCUAAUCAGAAAGCCACGGCUAACUACGUG